rnacentral:rRNA from 1 species
GACGAACGCUGGCGGCGUGCUUAACACAUGCAAGUCGAACGGAAAGGCCCUUCGGGGUACUCGAGUGGCGAACGGGUGAGUAACACGUGGGUGAUCUGCCCUGCACUUUGGGUUAAGCCUGGGAAACUGGGUCUAAUACCGAAUAGGACCACGCGCUUCCUGGCGUGUGGUGGCAAGCUUUUGCGGUGUGGGAUGGGCCCGCGGCCUAUCAGCUUGUUGGUGGGGUAAUGGCGUACCAAGGCGACGACGGGUAGCCGGCCUGAGAGGGUGACCGGCCACACUGGGACUGAGAUACGGCCCAGACUCCUACGGGAGGCAGCAGUGGGGAAUAUUGCACAAUGGGCGCAAGCCUGAUGCAGCGACGCCGCGUGAGGGAUGACGGCCUUCGGGUUGUAAACCUCUUUCAAUAGGGACGAAGCGCAAGUGACGGUACCUAUAGAAGAAGCACCGGCCAACUACGUG